GGGUUGUGAGGUUAAGCGACUAAGCGUACACGGUGGAUGCCCUGGCAGUCAGAGGCGAUGAAGGACGUGCUAAUCUGCGAUAAGCGCCGGUAAGGUGAUAUGAACCGUUAUAACCGGCGAUUUCCGAAUGGGGAAACCCAGUGUGACUCGUCACACUAUCAUUAACUGAAUCCAUAGGUUAAUGAGGCGAACCGGGGGAACUGAAACAUCUAAGUACCCCGAGGAAAAGAAAUCAACCGAGAUUCCCCCAGUAGCGGCGAGCGAACGGGGAGGAGCCCAGAGCCUGAAUCAGCAUGUGUGUUAGUGGAAGCGUCUGGAAAGGCGCGCGAUACAGGGUGACAGCCCCGUACACAAAAGCGCAUGUGCUGUGAGCUCGAUGAGUAGGGCGGGACACGUGGUAUCCUGUCUGAAUAUGGGGGGACCAUCCUCCAAGGCUAAAUACUCCUGACUGACCGAUAGUGAACCAGUACCGUGAGGGAAAGGCGAAAAGAACCCCGGCGAGGGGAGUGAAAAAGAACCUGAAACCGUGUACGUACAAGCAGUGGGAGCACCCUUUGGGGUGUGACUGCGUACCUUUUGUAUAAUGGGUCAGCGACUUAUAUUCUGUAGCAAGGUUAACCGAAUAGGGGAGCCGGAGGGAAACCGAGUCUUAACCGGGCGUUAAGUUGCAGGGUAUAGACCCGAAACCCGGUGAUCUAGCCAUGGGCAGGUUGAAGGUUGGGUAACACUAACUGGAGGACCGAACCGACUAAUGUUGAAAAAUUAGCGGAUGACCUGUGGCUGGGGGUGAAAGGCCAAUCAAACCGGGAGAUAGCUGGUUCUCCCCGAAAGCUAUUUAGGUAGCGCCUCGUGAACUCAUCUCCGGGGGUAGAGCACUGUUUCGGCUAGGGGGCCAUCCCGGCUUACCAACCCGAUGCAAACUGCGAAUACCGGAGAAUGUUAUCACGGGAGACACACGGCGGGUGCUAACGUCCGUCGUGAAGAGGGAAACAACCCAGACCGCCAGCUAAGGUCCCAAAGUCAUGGUUAAGUGGGAAACGAUGUGGGAAGGCCCAGACAGCCAGGAUGUUGGCUUAGAAGCAGCCAUCAUUUAAAGAAAGCGUAAUAGCUCACUGGUCGAGUCGGCCUGCGCGGAAGAUGUAACGGGGCUAAACCAUG
rnacentral:rRNA from 1 species